ACACGGACCAAGGAGUGCAACAUGCGUGCGAGUCUUUGGGUGGCAAACCCAGCGGCACAAUGAAAGUGAAGGCAGGCGUUGGUCUGCUUAGGCGAGAGUCUCCUCGUGGGACACAUCGUCGACCGAUCCCAGGUCACGCUGUGGCGGGAUUUGAGUGAGAGCGUGCCUGUUGCGACCCGAAAGAUGGUGAACUAUGCCUGAAUAGGGUGAAGCCAGAGGAAACUCUGGUGGAAGCUCGUAGCGAUUCUGACGUGCAAAUCGAUCGUCAAAUUUGGGUAUAGGGGCGAAAGACUAAUCGAACCAUCUAGUAGCUGGUUCCCUCCGAAGUUUCCCUCAGGAUAGCUGGAGCCCGGUGCAGUUUUAUCAGGUAAAGCGAAUGAUUAGAGGUCUUGGGGUUGAAACAACCUCAACCUAUUCUCAAACUUUAAAUGGGUAAGAAGCUUGGCUUGCUUAAUUGAAGUCAGGCAUUGAAUGCCGGGGUUCCUAGUGGGCCAUUUUUGGUAAGCAGAACUGGCGAUGUGGGAUGAACCAAAUGCUGGGUUAAGGUGCCCGAAUCGACGCUCAUCAGAUACCAUGAAAGGUGUUGGUUGAUCUAGACAGCAGGACGGUGGCCAUGGAAGUCGGAAUCCGCUAAGGAGUGUGUAACAACU
rnacentral:rRNA from 1 species